rnacentral:rRNA from 1 species
UUAAGCGACUAAGCGUACACGGUGGAUGCCCUGGCAGUCAGAGGCGAUGAAGGACGUGCUAAUCUGCGAUAAGCGUCGGUAAGGUGAUAUGAACCGUUAUAACCGGCGAUUUCCGAAUGGGGAAACCCAGUGUGUUUCGACACACUAUCAUUAACUGAAUCCAUAGGUUAAUGAGGCGAACCGGGGGAACUGAAACAUCUAAGUACCCCGAGGAAAAGAAAUCAACCGAGAUUCCCCCAGUAGCGGCGAGCGAACGGGGAGCAGCCCAGAGCCUGAAUCAGUGUGUGUGUUAGUGGAAGCGUCUGGAAAGGCGCGCGAUACAGGGUGACAGCCCCGUACACAAAAAUGCACAUGCUGUGAGCUCGAUGAGUAGGGCGGGACACGUGGUAUCCUGUCUGAAUAUGGGGGGACCAUCCUCCAAGGCUAAAUACUCCUGACUGACCGAUAGUGAACCAGUACCGUGAGGGAAAGGCGAAAAGAACCCCGGCGAGGGGAGUGAAAAAGAACCUGAAACCGUGUACGUACAAGCAGUGGGAGCACGCUUAGGCGUGUGACUGCGUACCUUUUGUAUAAUGGGUCAGCGACUUAUAUUCUGUAGCAAGGUUAACCGAAUAGGGGAGCCGAAGGGAAACCGAGUCUUAACUGGGCGUUAAGUUGCAGGGUAUAGACCCGAAACCCGGUGAUCUAGCCAUGGGCAGGUUGAAGGUUGGGUAACACUAACUGGAGGACCGAACCGACUAAUGUUGAAAAAUUAGCGGAUGACUUGUGGCUGGGGGUGAAAGGCCAAUCAAACCGGGAGAUAGCUGGUUCUCCCCGAAAGCUAUUUAGGUAGCGCCUCGUGAAUUCAUCUCCGGGGGUAGAGCACUGUUUCGGCAAGGGGGUCAUCCCGACUUACCAACCCGAUGCAAACUGCGAAUACCGGAGAAUGUUAUCACGGGAGACACACGGCGGGUGCUAACGUCCGUCGUGAAGAGGGAAACAACCCAGACCGCCAGCUAAGGUCCCAAAGUCAUGGUUAAGUGGGAAACGAUGUGGGAAGGCCCAGACAGCCAGGAUGUUGGCUUAGAAGCAGCCAUCAUUUAAAGAAAGCGUAAUAGCUCACUGGUCGAGUCGGCCUGCGCGGAAGAUGUAACGGGGCUAAACCAUGCACCGAAGCUGCGGCAGCGACGCUUAUGCGUUGUUGGGUAGGGGAGCGUUCUGUAAGCCUGCGAAGGUGUGCUGUGAGGCAUGCUGGAGGUAUCAGAAGUGCGAAUGCUGACAUAAGUAACGAUAAAGCGGGUGAAAAGCCCGCUCGCCGGAAGACCAAGGGUUCCUGUCCAACGUUAAUCGGGGCAGGGUGAGUCGACCCCUAAGGCGAGGCCGAAAGGCGUAGUCGAUGGGAAACAGGUUAAUAUUCCUGUACUUGGUGUUACUGCGAAGGGGGACGGAGAAGGCUAUGUUGGCCGGGCGACGGUUGUCCCGGUUUAAGCGUGUAGGCUGGUUUUCCAGGCAAAUCCGGAAAAUCAAGGCUGAGGCGUGAUGACGAGGCACUACGGUGCUGAAGCAACAAAUGCCCUGCUUCCAGGAAAAGCCUCUAAGCAUCAGGUAACAUCAAAUCGUACCCCAAACCGACACAGGUGGUCAGGUAGAGAAUACCAAGGCGCUUGAGAGAACUCGGGUGAAGGAACUAGGCAAAAUGGUGCCGUAACUUCGGGAGAAGGCACGCUGAUAUGUAGGUGAGGUCCCUCGCGGAUGGAGCUGAAAUCAGUCGAAGAUACCAGCUGGCUGCAACUGUUUAUUAAAAACACAGCACUGUGCAAACACGAAAGUGGACGUAUACGGUGUGACGCCUGCCCGGUGCCGGAAGGUUAAUUGAUGGGGUUAGCGCAAGCGAAGCUCUUGAUCGAAGCCCCGGUAAACGGCGGCCGUAACUAUAACGGUCCUAAGGUAGCGAAAUUCCUUGUCGGGUAAGUUCCGACCUGCACGAAUGGCGUAAUGAUGGCCAGGCUGUCUCCACCCGAGACUCAGUGAAAUUGAACUCGCUGUGAAGAUGCAGUGUACCCGCGGCAAGACGGAAAGACCCCGUGAACCUUUACUAUAGCUUGACACUGAACAUUGAGCCUUGAUGUGUAGGAUAGGUGGGAGGCUUUGAAGUGUGGACGCCAGUCUGCAUGGAGCCGACCUUGAAAUACCACCCUUUAAUGUUUGAUGUUCUAACGUUGACCCGUAAUCCGGGUUGCGGACAGUGUCUGGUGGGUAGUUUGACUGGGGCGGUCUCCUCCUAAAGAGUAACGGAGGAGCACGAAGGUUGGCUAAUCCUGGUCGGACAUCAGGAGGUUAGUGCAAUGGCAUAAGCCAGCUUGACUGCGAGCGUGACGGCGCGAGCAGGUGCGAAAGCAGGUCAUAGUGAUCCGGUGGUUCUGAAUGGAAGGGCCAUCGCUCAACGGAUAAAAGGUACUCCGGGGAUAACAGGCUGAUACCGCCCAAGAGUUCAUAUCGACGGCGGUGUUUGGCACCUCGAUGUCGGCUCAUCACAUCCUGGGGCUGAAGUAGGUCCCAAGGGUAUGGCUGUUCGCCAUUUAAAGUGGUACGCGAGCUGGGUUUAGAACGUCGUGAGACAGUUCGGUCCCUAUCUGCCGUGGGCGCUGGAGAACUGAGGGGGGCUGCUCCUAGUACGAGAGGACCGGAGUGGACGCAUCACUGGUGUUCGGGUUGUCAUGCCAAUGGCACUGCCCGGUAGCUAAAUGCGGAAGAGAUAAGUGCUGAAAGCAUCUAAGCACGAAACUUGCCCCGAGAUGAGUUCUCCCUGACUCCUUGAGAGUCCUGAAGGAACGUUGAAGACGACGACGUUGAUAGGCCGGGUGUGUAAGCGCAGCGAUGCGUUGAGCUAACCGGUACUAAUGAACCGUGAGGCUUAACCUU